rfam:Chamaesiphon minutus PCC 6605, complete genome.
GGGCAACUAGCUCAAUGGUAGAGCAUCGGACUCUUAAUCCGUUGGUUCCGAGUUCGAGCCUCGGGUUGCCCA